rnacentral:lncRNA from 1 species
GAAUGUUUUCGACAGUUUGCUUCUUGAAAUCACUCCUGUUUCUAGUUGCCAUGAACUUUCCCCAGUUGUACUCUUUAAAUUUAGGGGGGUUUUCCUCAUUGGUCAACUCCUCCAAUGGCUUCACAUUCACAUGAUGCACCGGUAAGAAAAAGAAUGGAAUCGAAAACCUUUCCUUCUCACUAUUCGCCACCACCAUGUGCUCCACGCUCUCAUAUUUAUCAUUGCUCCAAACCUGUAUAGUGUUGGAUAAAUAUUGAGAAAAAGUAACACCAAUUUCUCCAACAUGUUUUUCUUUUUUUUUAAAUAAUAAUAAUAAGAUACAAUAUAUAAGACCUAGCUAUUAUAAUACCUAUAAAAAAAACUCAAACCAAUCACAACAUGUCAUGUAUAUAAUUAAGUUUAUUUACUUCGUAUAUGAUUUCAUUUUUCUAGAUCUAGUCUCGAUACUUUUAUCCCUAUCCAAUGCUCUAGAUUUUAUCCUAUACUUUUGAGGAGGUUUUGAAUUGAUAACCUACAAUUUUCCAAUGUGUACAAAUGAAAUUGAAGUCAUUUGAUGGAUCAUACCUGAAUAAUAUCACCAACAUCAAUGAUAUAAGCAUUUGGAAUAGGCUUUACUCCAAUCCAUUCACCAUCAACUUUUCCCUUCACUUCCAACCCUGUGACACCAUCUUGAAAGAGAACGGUUAAAGCUUUGGCGUCCUUGUACCGACCCACAACGAGAGAGCUUCGGCCACGAGAACGGCGGAGAGUGAUAAUUGAGUCGGAUUAAGCUGGUUUGCCAUUGGAAUAACUCAUUCAACUAGUCCCCGGCCAAGCCUAAGCUUAAGAAGAUGAGUUCUAAGAACUUGUUGGCUAAUUUUUCUAUUUCUCCAACAUAUUCUUUCCAAAUUUUCAUGAAAAUAAGUCAUUAUAUAAAAUAUAUCAAUACUCAAAAUGAAUUUAAUAAAAUCUUGCCAUGCCUUUACGUCUCUAUUUGAGUUUGUUUGCCUUUGAGUUGUGCCUUUACGUCUCUACUUGAGUUUGAUCGACUUUGAGUCGCAUUUUUAUGCCUCUAGUUGAGUCUAUUUAGCUUCAAGUCGUGCCUUAACAGUUCGAGUUUAGUCUAUUCGGCUUCAAACCGCACUUUUACAUCUCUUUCAUCUUUGAGCCACGUAUUUAUGUCUCUAGUUGAUUUUGUUUGACUUUAAGCUGCACCUCAUGCCUUUAGUUGAGUCUGUUCAGCUUCUAGUCGUGCAUCUAUAUUUCAAGUUGAGUUUAUUUGGCUUCAAGUUGUGUCUUUACGUUUCAAGUUGAAUCUAUUUGGCUUCAAGUUGAAUCUAUUUGGUUUCAAGUCGCACCUUUACAUCUCUAGUUGAGUCAGUUCAACUUUGACCCACGUCUUUACAUUUCUUGUUGAGUUUGUUCAACUUCAAGUCAUGCUUUUAUGUCUCUAGUUGAGUUUGUUUAGUUUCAAGCCACAGCUCUACAUCUCUAGCUGAGUCUAUUCUGCUUCAAAACAUGCCUUACAUUUCAAGUUGAGUCUAUUCGGCUUCAAGUUGCGCUUUUGCAUCUCUAAUUGAGUCUAUUCGACAUUGAGCUACGCCUUUACUUUUCAAGUUAAGUCUAUUUAGCUUCGAGCAACGCCUUUAUAUUUGGAGUUGAGUCUGUUAGGUUUCAAGCUACGCUUUUACAUCUCUAGUUGAGUCUAUUCGACUUUGAGUCAUGCCUUUAUGUUUUGAGUUGAGUUUAUUCAACUUUGAGUUACAUUUUUGCGUCUCUAGUUUAGCAUGUUCAACUUGAAGCAAUGUCUUAACGUUUCAAGUUGAGUUUGUUCGGCUUUGAGUUGCGCCUUUACGUCUCUAGUUGAGUUCGGCUUCGAGUUGUGCCUUUUUGUUUCGAGUUGAGUUUGUCUUAACUUUGAGUCACACCUUUACGUCUCUAAUUGAGUUUGAUUGGCUUCAAGCUGCGUCUUUAUGUUUCAAGUUGAGUUUGUUCGGCUUCAAGUCGUAGCUUCAAGUCAUGCCUUUAUGUCUCUAUUUGAGUAUGUCUGGCUUCAAGCCACGUCUUUAUGUUUUGAGUUGAGUUUGUUAGGCUUUGAGUUGCACCUUUACGUUUCGGGUUGAGUUUGUUCAGCUUUGAGUCACAUUUUUAUAUAUCUAGUUGAGUUUAUUCGACUUCGAGCCACACCUUUGAGUUUCAAGUUGAGUCUAUUCGGCUUCAAACCACACUUUUACGUAUCUUGUUAAGUCCUAUUCAGCUUCGUGCUAUGCCUUUACAUUUCUUGUUGAGUUUGUUCAGCUUUGAGUAUCGUCUUUAUCCUUAUUAAGUUCAUUCGGCUUUAGUCGUGCCUUCACCCUUAUCCUUAGUUUUGAGCCUAUUUGACUUCAAGCCAUGCGUUUGUCCUUGUUAAGUUUAUUCGGCUUCAAGUCGCCUCCUAGUUUUAAGUUUGUUUGGCCUCAAGCCGCACAUUCCCCUCUAUUUGAGUUCAUUUAGAAUUUUCCCCUUCCUCGAGUUUAUUAUGACAUUCUCUUCCUUCAAUAUCAUUUUUUGUGAGUUAAUCACUUCUUAUCUUGGUUGUCCUUGAGUUGUAUGUUGUGUCACGAUCUAGUGUUGUUCAUUGCAUAUACACUCCCCACAUUAUUUGUAUCUUUAUCUUAAGUUUCUUCCUUAGUAUGUGAUCCUGAUCUUUGAGCUUAGCAUGCCAUGUGUUAUGAAAAAAUUAUGAGUUCUCUUUUGUUCUUCAAUGCAAUUCACUUCAUACCAUUCAUCACUCAUGUUUCACUCUUCGUGUUCAGUUCACUCAUGAACUAUAUCAAAUAAGGGCAUAUUUAUAGACCCUCCAUUUUGUCUCAUAGCACGUAUGUUUGCAUUUUUUAUUUUCCUCUCGCCCCAUGCCCAUUUUAAUUUGGUGUCCGUUUGGAUACUUCUUGCUUAAUCAUUCAUCAUCCCUUAUUAGUUCACAUUUACUUGGCUCAUUAAUCAUUUUUUAGCCACAUUUUGGAGGCCAUUUAGGGCGAUUUUGGGUCUAAGCUUUUUUUUUUUAGAGGCUCUCAGUAGAUGGCUCAUAAUGAGGACACGUGUUUUUAAAGGGGUCUUCUAGAGGCUUCUAGGGUCAGUUGGGAGAGCACGUUCUUAUUUAUAUAUCUAUUGUUUUGGAGGUGAGUUGUACACCAAGAGAAUGAGGGAGUAGAUGGAGGUUUUUUAAACAUUGUAAGAGGAGAUUCGUUUUGAUUGGCAUUUAUACCAAUAAAAUCUUGGGAUUACUGAGAACUCAACGGGACCUUCCCUCUCAAAUCAUACAAACUUGGCCAAAGAGGGGUGGGUACCAUUGAGUUCUUAGGCUUUCAUGUCGAUAACUCAAUUCAUCUUAUUACUAAAGGGAUGAACCCAAUCCGGAAUAUGAACCAAAAAAGAAAAUGUCUAUUAAAUUGAUGACAGGAAUACCAGUUACAGUAGCUAUUAGCCAAAAGGAAUCCUUCCAAGUUGGAGGUGGUUAGAGAGAGAGAAGGCUGGGCGAGAGAGAGAGACACGUAAAGAGAAUAUUCUCUCUGGUGAGGGUUUGUUAGACGGGAAGCAAGAAGCUUGAGGGUAGAGAGGACAAUCAGAGGAGGAGUUUGGAGGAAGAGGGGAAGGGAGCUCGAAGGCAAGCAGAUCAGUGCUUGAGGGGACGUUUUUCCAAGUAUGAUUAUUGGGUCUCUCAUUUUCCGCUGUUCUCCUUUCCUUCCCGGUUGAUCUCUGGAUUUUAGUUGAUGCUUUGAUAUGGAUUCCAGAUGCCACACUUCAUCUUGUUGAGCAUUGGUUAGCUAUGGACUUGUUACUGCUACUCUUCUGUUUCUUUUGAGUUAACUUUGGAAAUGAAUCUGAAUAUAGACUGGUAUUUGCUGCUUGAUGUUUCGGGAAUCAUAUUUUAGUUGUUUAAAAUUCAUUCUGGCAUGUUCGGUUCCUUCAAGCUCAUUGAUGAAAUAAUGAAAUGGAGCUCUAUAUAUUUGUUAAUGGGUUGGUUCUCUGUUUGGUUAUCUUUUAAGUUCUUCCUCUUCUCUUUUCUCGUUGCCUUCUCUUCUCUAGGGGGGUGUCGUUUGAGCAUAUGCAUACUAGGAGAAAUGGGGAGCUGGAGGCUUAUCCUGGCAUCAACCUCGCGUUGGGGACGGCUUGAUCGAAGAACAUAUGAAUUUUUCAGAUACCUAGAACUUACAUCAAAAGAAGCCUCGGAGUCUAGGUCAAACACAAACACAUCCUUUGCCUUGGUGAUUUUAUUGACUUCUGCAUGAUGGGCACCCGAGGGUGGGGACUGGAAGAGAAAUGAUGAAUCUGCCUAAUAUAGUUUGUCUAGAAAGGAGCUUGUAUUAAAUGAUGGUUACCCACUGUGUCAGAUGCUGAAAUCUGGGUAUGAGGACUCCCGGUGGCAUCGGAAAGAUGAGUCGCACCAUUCUUCCCACAGUAGAAAGCUUGACCUCCGAAUUUGGGCUUUUUCAUGGCCAGACGAGAGGAGUGAUCGCAAUAGUGCGAGCAGAGCCAGUCAAAUUAAGCCUGUUAUCAGAGGAGUGAACCUACUGCCUUGUUCUAUCUCCGAUGGUCUGCUCAGCUCCUUCAACCUCCACCGCUCUCCUCUUUCCAAGUUCUCCAUUUUCAGUCUAGAGCCAACAAGAGUCGCAGAAAUCCUCAAAGAUUGACCUACAUGGUAUCGUGAGUACCUCGAUGUGGAUGUUCUUAAUGAGUUGUCAACUGGAGCCAAAUGGGUGUUUGAUAAGACCCAGUGAAGAUGUAAAAAUUAUAUAAUGAAGCUUGCAGAAAGACUCAAGGGUUGAUGGAAGGCAUCUCAACGAAGUUUGGCUUUUGUAUUGUGAAUCUGGCAAAUUACCUAUACUGCAUGGAUCAUCACUCUUUUCACGUGGAGGUACACAUGUCCUUUGUACUGUACACUUGGGGCAUCACAACCUGGUGAUGAUCAACGACUGGAUCCUCUGGUUGGUCCUCCAACAAAGCGCUUCAUGCUUCACUGAAAUUUCCCGGAGUUCUCGAUUAACGAAGUUGGCCAGCUUCUUAACCUGCACUGUUCCACAGAAGUCGCAUAAAGAUUUGACAUUGAAAUUGAUGUGGUUUUUCCUUUGCCAAUGGUGGUGGGCGCGCUUUGUAUGUAGAUUCCGAAGGAACUUCCAACUUGAUGGCUGUGAGUGGUAAUUAGGUUGGAGAAGAAACUACUGGGUCUGCCCCAUUAGUUUUCCAUUGUUAAGGUAGUUUGGUGCACAGCUUUCUGGAUCAUCUACACCACCAGCACCUCCAGCCGCCUGUUUUGAUCAGUUUCUGGAUUUCCAUCUCCAAAUUGUGCAAGCAGCGACUGAUUUGGUGUCCAUACAAGCGGCUACUGAAAUGGUUCAAACCUCAAAUGCUGAAGGGAAAGGAGCUUUUGGAAAAUAUCAUGAAGAAGACUCACCCAUCUUACAUGAAAUUAUACACAACUCCAUGGACCAGAACCGGAACUCAGACUUAAAUUUGUCCAAGAGAAGAUCAGUGUUAUACAAGUCAAUUGCAGUCAUUCCUGAAAGAAGUGAUCAGAAGAGUAAACCUGGAAAAGCAGCGAGUGAAACAAGGUCUGUGACAUUGAACAAUUUGCAGAUGGGUGUUCCCACAAGCUCCUUUCCCCUCUUCCCACGUGCAUGAAAUUCCUACAUGCAUGGCCACCUUCUUAGGUGUGCAAUUCGGUGCAUAUGCUCAAGCGUACUACCCCCCUCUUCUUUUAAAAAAAAAAUGAUUUUAAAUUUAAAUUUUUGACAAAUUCAUUUCCCUUUUAAAAUCCCUCCUCAGUAAUUCUCUUCAAAUUAAUAAAAUCUAUUUUCAAUAAAUUUCUGCUGUCAUCUUCCUUUUGGCGUGGACCAUUUUUCUAUUUUCUUUGAUUUUUAAUAAUUUUCUGAUUUUUUUUAAUAAAUAUGAAUAAAUUCUAUGUUUUUUAAAAUAAUGGAAUUUUCUCCAAAUUUCUAUUAUCUUUUUCUCCGAGAUCAUUAGGAAGAUGAAAUUCCUAAAAUUAAUUCAUGCAAAUAAAUUGGACGUUGGUGGGUCCAACAUAUGAAUUUUUCUCUUUUGAUUAUUAAUUUUAAUUGCUACGCUUGAUUGAUUAAUGAUUGAUCUCUACCUUGCUCUAACAUACAUAAGAUUUAUUGUGUUUGUGAUUGUACACUAACCAUGUUUCCCACGAAACGCUCAACUUAUUGCUAUUGUACGUUCCUUCCUUCUCCUAUUUGUUUAAGUAUAGCUCAACCAUAAUACAUCACUGAUAAUUACUUGGUAUCUAUUGAUUUUUUGAUCAAUUGUCAUAUACCUUAACGUAAUUAUCAGAGACCUGAUUUUAGGGUAUAGAGGGGUUUUACAACUUAUUAUCGUACCUUUUCAAUAAGUAACCUGACCCUCGAACCCAAACUCGGUUUUUUAUAAACCUGUACUUUCCUUUCAAGUUUCAUAUUUAGAGUUUUAUUUUUUAUUUUGUUUUCUAUUUAAAAAUAAAAUAAAAAUAAGUGUCAAAUUUAAAACCAUAUUUUCUAAAAAUCAAUUGUUCAUCAAUUUAAACUGAGUCUUGUCUUCUUUUUUUUUUUUCAAGUGAGGACAUGAUCUCAGGUCCACAAUACUAUUUUAAUAUAUAUCAUGAAAUAUAGAUAUUAACGUCAUCUUAAAGAUAUAAUUAAAUUUUUUGUUUAAAAUAAAUUAUAAUAAUUUAAAAAUAAUAUUUUAUUUAAAAUAAAUUUUAGAAUAAGCAAAGUUAAUAAGUGGACAUAGAGAAUUAUGAACCAUUGUAAAUGUAUUGAUUAUAUCUCUUUCUUCCCAUUUCAUUUUUACUCUAGUUUUUAUUAUUCGCAUCUUUUUCUACUAAAAUUUGAAAAAGAAAUUCACAUUCAAUUCAUUCGCUUCUUCUUGGGUGUAUGUCAUAGGAUUCAAAUUGUUUUUAAAAAAUAUUAAAUUUGUUAAUUGUGGCUAUAUGCUUAUUUAGGAUCCAUUCAUCUUAAUAACUCUCUUCCCGAUAUAGGAAGAAAAUGGCUAUUCCAUUAAUCCAGCAUGCAUUGCUGAUUAUUUAUCAAGCAAAUUACAUUAUUAUUUUCACACCAAACCUCCAAAUUCUCCAUGCAUAUACGCAUCCUAUACUGCAUGGCCAACUUCAGAGAGCUAAAACAAGCUCUUAUUGAAUUCAUGAUAGAUGAUGUCCCACUGACCCUUUUACUCUGAUACCUUGAAAUGAGAAAUUUGGAGGUUUUCCACAUCAAGCUUUUUGAAACUACUGCGCCUUCUCGUAACAAAGAACUUUCCCUAGUUGUAUGCUCUAUACUUUGGCUUUUCCCCCUUCGUCAGCUCCUCCAAGGGCUUCACCCAAACAUGGUGCCCGGGACUGAAAAAGAACGGAAUUGAGAACCUUUCCCCCUCUGAAUUCACCAUCACCCUGUGCUCCACACUUUCAAAAGUAUCGUUGCUCCAGACCUGGUUUAAUAUCAGUAUAAUUAGCCAAAUGGGUGUAAAAUUCCUUGAGCCAAACAGUACUGAUAAGCAUGUACUUAUAAUUUAAAGUUCUUGUGUGGGACCUGAACUAUAUCCCCAACGUUGAUGAUAUAAGUAUCUGGGGUGGGCUUCACUCGAACCCAUUCUCCAUUGGUUUUUAGCUUUACUUGCAGCCCUCCAACAUCAUCCUGGGCAAGGAUGGUUAAGGCUACGCCAUCCUUGUGGCGUCCAGCGCCCAGAGCUAGGUGAGGGAUGGGGCAAGGUGGGUAGUGAUUGAAGCGGAUGAAGUUUGUUGAUUCUUCAAAGAGAAGAUUGAAUCUGUUCUCUGGAAAACCUAAGCUCAGAGAGAUGAGUCCCAACAGCUUGAAAGCUAGUUUUUCCAUUUCUCUAGCAUAUUCUUCACAAACCUCCCUGUAUAAAUCAGUUCAAUUAGAACAAAAAAAUCAAGUAAUUCACUGUAGUGACUGUGCCUUAGCUGGUGGAAUUUGUACCUUAAUUCAGGAGGGUACUGAGGCCACUGAUUGAUCAGCUCAUUGAGCUCCUUUUCAUCAGGAUCAGGCGAAGCAGGGAUAAAGGCGGGGGAUGACACCACGAGAUCAAAGACUUCCUUCCAGUCCCUAACGUUCUUGGUAUGCUCAGUAUCGAAAUACCCCAAAGGAUUCACCUCAUCUCUACUUACUUUCCUCUUCUCCUCCAAUGGGAGAGCGAAGAACUUCCUCGCGGCAUCCUCAAUUUUACGACGAGACUCGGAGGGCACCCCAUGGUUGAUGACUUGAAAGAAGCCCCAGUUCUUGCAUGCAUCAGCUAUUUGAGAAACAUGGUUGAAAGCAUUGGCGGAGGAGAGAUCAAUGAGGGGGAUGCCUUCAGCUUCGAUAACAGCGAGCUUAGGCCUAUGUUGGGUGUCUUGGAUGCAGGCUGGAUCGACCUCUCCCAUGGCUGUGGUAGUGGUUAGAACUUAGAACUUAGAAAUGGCGGUUAUGCACUGCUAGUGUUAGCUGCACGUGAAGAUGGUGAAUGGGGACUUGGCCACUUAGCAGGUGGUUUUUGUAGUGUAGUGGGGUUGGUUUAGUACACUGAACCUGGACAUAAUUGGGGUUACGUUUUAAGUUUUGGUUGGGGGCUGGCGUAGGCUCAUGUGUUGCGCGAAUGUCAAUGAUAUUUGGUUGUAUGAUUUCCAAAAUCUGCAGCCCCAAAAGGGAAUCUCUCUCAAUGAUUUCGGCAACAGCACUCUCCACAUUCAAAUGUUUGAUCCGUAUUUGAAUUGGAGUCUAAUACUCUGAUCAAAGAUACGCUUCGUUUAGUUUCGAGUACAUUUUCGAAUUUACUAAUUCAUAAUUAGGGAAAAGUAUGUUUCGAUACGCUAACAUAAAAAUAUUGAUAAAUUAGGUUGAAACCAAAAAUGCUCUCCACCAUGCCAACCAACCCUUACAUGUUUGAAAAUAGAAAAGAAAAAAAAACCACCAAAACCAAUAUCUCUUUCUUUUCGAGUUAUUUGAUUAAAAAAGUCAAUGAAAACCUAAUUUUUUAAAUUUAAUUAUUUGUUUUUUUUUUUUGUUUCAUUUUGAUAAAAAUAUUUUUGCUAAUUUCUUAUAAAAAUAACAAUUUUUUUUAAAACCUAUAGGUAAAUAUUUGAAAUAGUAAAUGACAUUUAUAUCAAAAAUGUGUUACUUUUCAAGUAAAAAUAUGGGAAAUGUUAAAUUUACAAUUUAAGGAUUAUUUCAUCGCUUUUAACCAAAUAUUUUUUGCUUUUUUUAGUUAUUAUUUUGUCUUUUGACAUAAAUCUUUCUAAAGAUCUAGAGGAUCCUGAUAUUAUUUUUUAGGCAGCCAAACAGACCUAGAAGGAAAGAUGACCCAAAAUGGAGGUGUUUCGACAUUUUCAAAAAUCCAUGUCGCAUCAUUGAAUAGAAGGAUCUGCCGCUAUUGCCAUUUUUUCAAUCCAUAGAGACUAGAAACAAUGAUAAGCAUGGAGAAAGUGCGAGAAAAUUUGAAGAAAUCAUGGAUGAAAGGCAAAGGCAAAGGUGUUUAUAGCCCCAAGUUAGGGUUGCCGUAGCUCUUCCUCUCAUGGUCCUUUUUUCUUUCUCGUUGGACUCUUUGGAUCAAUGCUUUUUCUCUCAGGUCUUUUCUUCUUUUUUUUUCAUCCUUUUGUACCUUUUUUAAUGGAUGUCAGCCACUUUCGAGUCGAGUUCAUUACUUCCAUUAGGGGUCUCCAAAAAGCCCGCGGCCCGCUUUAGGCCCGGCCCGGCCCGACGGGCUAAAGCCCGGCCCAAGCCUAGCCCGAGCCCGUUUAUGGGCGGGCCGGGCCUAAAUUUAGGCCCGUAGGCCCGCCCUUAGGCCCGCCUUUAAUUUUUUUAAAAAAAAUAAUAUACUAUAUUUUUAUAUAUAUAUAACUAACUCAUUUAAUAAGCACAAAAGAAAUGUAGCUCAGUUGGUUAGAGCCUUGAAAUUUAUGCUUGAGGGGAGGGGUUCGAAUCCCCCCCUCUUCCUUUCUUUAUUUAAAAGCCAUUUUGGCUUAUUUAAAAAAGCCCGCGGGCCUAGCAUUUUAGCUCGGCCCGGCCCGGCCCUGCCCGUUGACCAGUCAACGGGCCCAUAGGCCCGACCCGAGCUGGGCCGCGGGCCUCCUAUUUACGGCCCAGCCCGGCCCGUUGGAGACCCUUAACUUCCAUGAUAUUUGCAUAUAUGGAUGUGGUCUGUGCCAUUUAAAUUUUAACCCUUCAAAAUGGACUGCAGAAUUGGUAUUGAAUAUUAGGAGUUGUAUAAAUAAAACAAUUGGAACUUUUGACUUUAUACUUAGAACAUGAUCAGGGACUUUUUUUUUUCUUUUUUUUUUUUUUUGGGAUACAUAACAUGAUCAAGGCCAUUCCCUAAAUGAAGGCAUACUGUAGCAUAUACCAAUUUAUGAAAAUGCUAUUUAAGUUGGUUUUUUUUAUGUAACCAUUCUACCCUUAAUCAGAACAUUAAAAGUAUAACUUUAAACUAGUAUCAAACACUCUAUUUUUAAACCCAUUGCCACUCCAAAUACCCCAAAUAUUCUUUUCUAUGCACCCUCUCUACUCUCACAUAAACGCCUCUCUCUCUCUCUCAGACACACACACACAUAUUCUUUCCCACAAAAAUAAAUACACACAAAGUAAAACACAAUCUUAUCCGAUUCCCUUCCAAUUUAUGAUUCUGAGUUGGUGGGUCACUCUCUUGUUCUUUUGCUUUCUUGGCAUGGAGCUCCAUGCUUUCCUUCCCUCAUUUUUUUAUUUUUAUUUUUUUCUUGGAUAAAUACUCUAUAAAGUGUUCUCUCUCAAUGCUCUAUCUCAAUUCCCUUGCUCAUUACACAUUAUUUCUUUUUGGAUGCUUUCUUUAUGCUCCUAGGCAUAUGCCAGUUUUUUAUGACUAUUUUUGAAAUUGGGAUUCGAAAUUCACUAAAAAAAUUUCUCAAACUUGGAUUUUUCUCCAAAACUCAACCCUAACUUCUUUUCUAUCUGUACCAAGGCUAAAGAAUAUAGUUUAUACCCUUGUAUUCUCUCAUGUACCAAGCCCACAAGAUGAUGAAUAAGUUUCUCUCUAGAUUUUACAUUGGAGUUGAUUGAUGACAAUACCCUUAUUAGGCAGUAUAUUCUUUUCCUUAGGUACUAUCUUUUCCUACCUUAGAUACUACCUUUGUCACCUUGGGUGCAUCACCAAAUCCAUUGUUUCAUGGCCACUUCAAGUAAGUCAGGAACUUAUGUACAUGUGUGUUGCAUGUCUUAUAAGUACUAUAUUUACUUUCUUUAGGCACUACUUUUACCUUCCUUAGGUACUAAGAAAAAUAAAGGCUAAUCUUAAUUAGGAAAACACCUAAGAAAAAGGGUGAAUUGAGUCUUUAAAAAUCUUUUUCAAGUACAAACAAAUUCAAGGACAGUAAACACAAAUAUAAAGAAAUAAGAUUAGAGAAAGAAAAUUCAGAUUUUAUAGUGGUUCAGUACUUCCUUACCUACAUUCAUUCUCCUCAAACUCCUAACCGAAUGAGGGUUCCACUAUACGUGAAACUUCAAUCAAGCUUCCAAUCCUUUUACACUUGGAUUCCGGCUCCAAUGGGCUCUUACACAAUCUCUUCAAGUCUUUACUCACUUAAAGGUUCUAACACUCAAAUAACAUAUUUGAAUAUCUCAACGUAACUCAACAAUGGCUCAAAUACUACACAAAUGCUAAGAUGAAUCACAAAGGUGCACUGAGGUGUAUGCAAAUGAAGAUUUGAUGCACCAAAAAAAGAAUGAGAGCUUUUGAGGUAAGAACAAGUAGGUAAACAAAUAAAUGUAGGUAUUCUCUUGCUCAUAAAUGAAGUGGAGCUCUCAAUUUAUAGGUUUCUAACCUCAAGAGCAAAGAAUGCCAAAAAACAGCCUCGAUUUGACUAGACGUUGGGUAAUAAAUGCAUGGCAAGUGAUCAUUAGGCCUCGACUGAUUCUCAAUCGGACAUUGACCGAGAAGAUAAAGCCUCGAUCGAGAAUGCAAGGCUACUGGAAGAGAGUGAAGAUUUUUGUCAUCUCUCAAUCGAGAAAGGGUAACCGAUCAACCAGAACCCUAGCCAAUUGAGCCAGUUGGCCCAAUGCCUCAACCGGUUCACCAUUUUUUGCCCAAAAACUUAUUUUUUUCUGGUUUUCUUUUUUUUUUUUUCUCUUUUAAUACCUAGGCAAGGUCUUUAGGUAAAUGAAUAUGCCAAUUUUGAAACAAUUUGCCUAAGGUUCAUUUCAUAAAACUUGGAUUUCGAUGAAAAUAUAUCUUUAAUGCAUAAAUCAAGUUUUGAAAGAUACAUGAAAAGAUAUAAAAAUCCUAAGUGCACACAUGCAUUCAUCUUACAUAUGUUUCCUAUGAUUAAAGGGUUUUCCAAUUGUCUUUAUCUUGCAUCCAUUGGGUUCUUUGAUGAAUUUUCAAACUAAUACUUGAAAUUCUUUAUAAUUCAAACCAAUUAGCAACUUAAACAUAGUUUGUUAUCAUCAAAACACGAUGAGGAGAACCCUUGGGCUAACAAUCUCUCUCUUUUUUAUGAUGACAAACCUUGGUUAUCUAAGAAAAAAAUAAUAACUUUCUCAAACCAAUCAUGGAUCAAACAAUCAGUAUUUAAGAAUUUAAAAACAAGAUGAUCAAGACAUGUUAAAUUGCAACACAAAACAAUGUAAGUCAUCAAAUAUAUAAGCAUAUCAUAUAUCAUAUGUCAAAUAUAUCAGUCAGUACAUCAUAUGGAAAUAUACAAUCCAAAAAAAAUGAUAUGCAUGUAUGAGUCCUAUGUCUAGCCUCCUAGAUCCUAAAUUAUCUCCCCCUUUGGCAACAUAAAAAAUGAACAAUGAGGGGGUCUCCAACGAAUCAAGGCUGAUGAGGUGGAAGUGGAAACAUGGAACGCAAGUAAGCCAUCAUCUCCUCAUGCUGACACUCCAUGUGAUCCUCCAUGUGAUCAAUCCUCUGUUCCAUGUGAUCCUCAAUGCAAGUAAUCUUUUGCUCCAUGUGAUCUCAAAGAGAUCAAUCCUCUACUAGAGAUACUUAAACUAAAAAGUGAACCCAGUCCAAUACUAGUCCAUCAUAUCCCUCAUAGAUUAAAAUCGUUUGUCAUUGACCACUACAAGUUCCUCCAUGAGAGUGCCAAAAGAGCUAAUCUAGGUUGAUAAGUUCAUCCAUGGAGCAUAGUUAGGAGCAAAAGGUGUUUGAAGAGGUGGUAUCUUAAUAUAGGUAGGGUUGGUGAAUGCAGGUCCAAACAAUGAGGGCUCGGUGUAAGAUGGUUGAGUAAAUGGUCCAUCUCUAAAAUUCGGCUUAGUCAUCCUCGGCUCAAAGAAAGUGGGCUCAAACUAAACACUCCUAGUCUAUGAAAGAAUGUCUGACUUAAGUUGGGGAAUAUCAAGUUUUCGCUAUUUCUGUUGGUGGCCACUCUAAGGGUUUAUGCCAUCUUAAGGGUCUACUCCACCCUUCAUCUCCCUAAUCUCUGCCUCCUCGUCAACUCCAGGGUGUACCUAUCCUUGUGGUUGUCCUCUCUCUGCAUUUUUUUUUAUCCAAAAGCCAUUUGAAGCCUUCUCAAAUUUCAUCAUCCACAUAGACUGAUCAUUAUAUGCGUCAUAGAUACUAGGAGCCUCAAACUAUCUCUUUACUCAAGUUUAUGCCAGCCUUCUUAAAUACCAAGGAGAUGAAAUGUCCAUAAGGGAAUACUCUGGCCAUGCUCUCACAACAAGUAAUCAUAUGCAUCAUCAUUAGAUAUCCCAAAUGAAUCCAUCUCCCAGUGAGGAUCAAAUCUAUCAAGAAAGCCUCAUAAUAGGAGACCUCAUCCCGGUGUCCACCCCGUGGCAAGAAAGUGAAUCAUAGCAUGUGAUGAAGCACUUUACAGAUGACUGUCAAGUUGUAUGUCGAUGGCUUGCCCAUCCCAUGGGCAUCUAGUAGUCCACAUAUCCUCUGAAUUGCCUCUCUAUGCUCAAAUCUCGGAAUGGUAGGCCACACCUUAGACUCACAUAUCCUCACUCAAUCCAACAACUACCACUCCAAGAAUCCGGCAAAAAAAAAUCGGCAUCAAGCUCAAUCUCCUCUCCUCUCAAGGUACAAGAAAUAGGAUCUCCAACACGAUACCUUGCCUUGGCAUAGACUGCCCAGACCAAAGACGAAAAUGCAGGCUUGGAUAAAAACACAGUCGGAAGCGAUCCCAUCCUCGCCAAAAGGUUCUAAAAUUUAAAGUAGCUCAGUUGUGCAAAGGCAAUGUCUCUCUCAAGUACCACACGCCGAUGAGAGAAAUGUUGCUUGUACCGUUGGUACUCUUCCAUGGUACUAAACAAGGCGGUAUAUAAAUGCAUCUUUAGGUGUGCCUCUGGUUAAGACAACUCAGUUGGGUGCUUGUCGUAAGCCCUAGAAGCAAUGGGCUCUUGUCUAAGAGCCAUAGAAGAUGGAGGCACAGCAAAGUGAAGAUAAGGAAAUGGUAGAAGCUCACACUUGAAACCUUAACGAAUAGAAUUGGAGAGGAAUCGGUACCGGAGUUGGCUAUGAUGCAUGGAAUGCAGAGAAAAUAGCCCAAAUCUGAAACCCUAGCCUUCAAAGCCCUCAAAUCCCUCCCAAAAUCAAGUUAAUUGAUUUGAAAUGAUCCAAAAUCAAUCUCAAAAGCAAAAACCAAUAAAACUCCUUGAAGAAUGAGAGAAAACGGUAAAGAAAUGAGGUGCAAGAAAGCCUUAUAAAUUUUCAACCUCGACGAACCGAUCGACCAGAUCUCAACAAGUUAACUUCCUAGUCAACGUGGUCAACAUGCUUUGACUUUCCAUUUUUAUGCAUUUUUUCAUUUCUUAAUCCUCCCUCAAUAUUUUUCAGUUGAAUUCCCCACUUUUUUAUGCUCAAUGCCAAGGGAUUUUUUAUUUUCGAUAAAAAAAUGAUCAUUUUCUAAGUAUAUGUCUAUAUGAUCUUUUAUUUGAUGCAUAUGACAUGAAAAUCAAAUAAUCAAUAGGCAUAGACAUCAAGAAAUUAUAAGCAAGCAUUUGAACAUAAAGAAAUCACCCUUAAUUGUCUUCUAAUGUCAACAAAUUGUUCUUCACUUAAAUGUUUUGUAAAAAUAUUGGCAAGUUGAUAUUUAGUGCUUACAAAUUCAAGUGUUAUGUCACCCUUUUGUGCAUGAUCUCUAAGAAAAUGAUAUAUAAUCUCUAUAUACUUAGUCCUAGAGUGUUGCAUGGAAUUUUUUGAUAUACUUAUGGCACUAGUAUUAUCACAUUUAAUAGGUACAUGCUCAAAAGAUAAACCGAAAUCACUAAGUGCUUGUUUCAUCCAAAAAAUUGUGCACAACAUAAACCGGCUACUAUGUAUUCAGCUUCCACCAUUGACAAAGCUGCCAAAUUUUGCUUCUUACUAUGCUAUGAAACAAGUGAAUGUCCUAAGAAAUGACAUGUGUCACUAGUGCUUUUUCUUUCAACUUUACAACCGACAAAAUUGGCAUUCGGAAAACCAAUUAAUUCAAAGUUGUCACUCUUAGGAUACCAUAAGCCUAUGUUCAUUGUUUCUUUCAAAUAUUUGAGGAUUAUUUUUAUAGUACUUAAGUAAGAUUCUUUAAGACAAGAUUGAAAUCUAGCACACAAGCAUACAAUAUACAUAAUGUCGGGUCUACUAGAAAUCAAGUAUAGCAAAGAACCUAUCAUGCCUUUAUACAUAUUAGAGUCACUAGAUUUACCUUUCUCAUCCUUAUCAAGCUUGAUGGAUGAGCUCAUUGGAGUCUUCAUUGCCUUGGUUUCCUUCAUGUUAAACCUUUUGAGAAGAUCUCUUAUAUACUUUGCUUAAUUGAUGAAGGUUUCUUCCUUUAGUUGUUUGAUUUGAAGUCCAAGAAAGAAGUUGAGUUUUCCCAUCAUACUCAUUUCAAAUUCACUAUGCAUACACUUAGCAAAUUCUUUACAAAGAGACAUUAGUAGAACCAAAAAUGGUAUCAUCAACAUAUAUUUGAACUAAGAACAUAUCUUUUUCUUUGGUUUUUAUGAAAAGGGUUGUGUCAAUUUUACCAAUUUUAAAACCAUUUUCUAAAAUAAAUUUCCUCAAUCUUUCAUAUCAUGCUCUAAUUAAGUGUUUGUUUCAAACCAUAAAGUGUCUUUUUAAAUUUAAAAACAUGGUUAGGAAAAUUAAAACUUUCAAAACCAGGUGGUUGUUCAACAUACACUUCUUCAUUUAUAAAACCAUUUAAAAAAUCACUUUUCACAUUCAUUUGAUAUAAAACAAAGUCUUUAAAACAUACAAAAGCAAGUAGCAUCCUAAUGGAUUCCAACCUAGCUAUGGGGGCAAAGGUUUCUUCAUAAUCUAUUCCUUCUUCUUGAUUAAAACCUUAGGCUACUAACCUUACUUUAUUUCUAACAAUUAUGUCAUUUUCAUCCAUUUUAUUUUUAAAAACCCAUCUAGUUUCAAUAACACUUUAAUUUGAAGGUCUUGGUACUAAUUCUCAUACUUCACUUCUUUUAAAUUGAUUUAACUCUUCUUGAAUAGCAAUCAUCCAAUUUUCAUCAUCUAAAGCAUCAUUUAUAUUUUUAGGUUCAAUUUGAGAUAUAAAAGUUAUAUUAUUGCAAAUAUUUCUAAGAGAAGAUCUAGUUCUUACCCCACUAGAUGGAUUACCUAUAAUUUGAUCUUGUGGGUGAUUGAUGACAAACUUUCAUUCUUUAGGAAGGUCUUAGUUUGAUUCACUUUGCACUUGUUGAGGAUGGGAUAGUAACAAUAGUGAUCUUUCUUCUUUAGGAUCCACUUCAUUUGCUUCUUGUUGUCUUCUAUCUUCAAUUUGCAAUUUUCCCAUGUAGAUCUCCAAACCUAAAUCAUCAUCAACUCUCUCUAUUUCUUGGAGAGAAUUGUUAGAUUCAUCAAAAAUAACAUGAAUGAACUCCUCUACAACCAUGGUUCUUUUGUUGAAAACUCUAAAAACUUUACUUAAAGUUGAGUAACCAAGGAAAAUUCCAACAUCCGAUUUUGCAUCACAUUUUCUAAAAUUGUCUUUGGUGUUUAAUAUAAAACAUUUGCAUCCAAUGACUUUGAAAUAGCUAAUGUUGGUUUUUUUUUCCUAAGCUCAUAGGGAGUUUUCUUAAGAAUGGGUCUUAAUAAAACUCUAUUUAAUACAUAACAAGAGGUGUUAACCAUUUCGACCCAAAAAUAUUUUGGUAGGUUGUUCUCAUUUAGUAUGGUCAUUGCCAUCUCUUGAAUUGUUUUAUUUUUCCUUUCAACUAUCCCAUUUUGUUAAGGAAUUCUAGGAGUCGAAAAAUUAUGAUCAAUUCCAUGCUCAUUGCAAUAAUUUUCAAAAUCAACAUUUUCAAAUUCUCUCCCAAAAUCACUUCUUAUACAAGUAAUUGCAAAACCUUUUUCAUUUUGAACUUUAUUGCAUAACCUUGAAAACUCAUAAAAAGCUUCAUUCUUUUAACUUAAAAACAAGACUCAUGUGUAUUUAGAGAAGUCAUCCACAAUAAUAUAAGCAUAAGACUUUCCUCCAAGAUUUGGUGUUCUAUAGGGACCAAAUAAAUCCAUAUGCAAUAACUCAAGUAGCCUAGUUGUGGAAAUGAAGUUUUUGUUUUUAAAAUUGUUUUUAAUUUGCUUUCCCACUUGACAAGUUUCAGACACUUUAUCUUUUUGAAAAUUUAUUUUGGGAAGACCUCUAACAAGUUCAUCUUCGUUGAGUUAGGAAAUGAGGUCCAUGUUAGCAUGUCCCAACCUCCUAUGCCACAACCAACUUUGGUCAUGCAUGCUUGAAAAACAUUUAUCAUGGUCAUCAUAUUUUGAAAUAUUUAUGGUGUAAACAUUAUCACAUCUAUGGCCCAUGAAGAUGGUUUUGUCAUUUUGAAUAUCUUUGAUAAUGCAAUGAGAUGCUUCUAAAAUCACUUUAAAACUUUUGUCACAUAGUUGACUAAUGCUUAAAAGAUUAUGUUUUAAAUCAUCUACUAAUAAAACAUUUUCAAUGAGAAAAGAUGUGUCAUCAUUAUCAAUGUUGUCUUGAGUAAUGAUUUUUCCUUUUGCAUUGUCUCCAAAGGUAACAUAUCAUUCAUUUUUCCUUGUAAGAAAAGCAAACUUGGAUUUAUCUCCGAUCAUGUGUUUUGAGCAUCCACUAUCUAAGAAUCAUUUAUCCUUCUUUGAACCCUACAACAUAUAACUCAAGUUGAUUUAGGUACCCAUAUCAUCUUGGGUCCUUAAGGGUUAGUGACCUUGGAUUUUUCAACCUAAAUUUUUUUGGCUUUUGCAGUUAAAUUUUUUUUAGAACCAUUUCUUAAAGGACAUCUUUUUGGCUCUUCCACAAAAGUUUCAAGUAGUGGAAGGACUUGCACUUGCAGAUCCCUUUACAAAAUAGUUCUUAAAAUACUUUUGAUUCUUUAAAGAUUUGAAUCCUAGCCCUUGUUUGUCAAAAAUACAUUUUUAGCUAGCUAGGAUCAUUUCACAAGAUUUUUGUCUACAAAAGAAGAUUGAAAUAGAAGAGGUAAACCAUUCAUUUUUCUUUCUUAAAAGCUCACUCUUUUUCAAGAUAAGUUUUAGAAUUUUUAACAUUUGAAAAUUUUUCUUUUACUUUUCCAAGUUCUUUUUCAAGUUAUUGAACUUUAGUUUUGAGAAAAACUUUUUUCAAACCAAGUUUUUCAAAGUAUAUCUUUAUCACUAAUGUUAAAGUUUACCUCAUCAAGUUCAUCUAUUGCCAUGAAACAUAUGUUUGUCACUUCUUUCUCAUUUUCUUCUUUGGAUGAUUCAUUUCACUUUCACUCCAAGUAGCCAUCAUUGUCUUCUUCUUCCUCUUAUUGGUUUGACUUUUGUAAAGUGGACAAUCAUAUUUAAUGUGUCCUAGUUUCUUGCACUUGAAGCACACCAAGUCCAUUUUCUCCUCUCAUCUCUCCUUGUCACCAUGGAAUGAAGAUUCCCUUUUUGAGGAGUCUCUUCUAGAAGUGAACUUUCUUCCUUCAAACUUUUCACCCCUCAUGAACUUGUUGAACUUUCUUGUGAUGAGGGCCAAGUCUUCAUCUUCUUCACUUUGUUUUUGUUCUUCAACUUCUUCUUUUUCGUUAGUUGUAGCUUUGAGAGUUAUGCUCUUCUUUUUUUUGUCUUUCUCUUCUUGUUACUUCUUUACUAAAUUGAUAUCAUAUGUCAUCAAUGACCCUAGGAGCUCCUCCAAAGGUAGCUUGGUCAAGUUUUUAGCUUCUUGAAUUGCGGUGAGCUUUGCAUCUCACUUUAAUGGAAGUGACCUCAAGAUCUUCAUCACCUUCUCCAAUUCCUUGUAGGCUUUUCCCAAAGCUUCAAGAUCAUUGACAAUGUCAGUGAACCUAGUAAUCAUCUCAACAAUAGUUUCAUUAUUUUUUAUUAAAAACAAUUCAUAACUAUGAACAAGAAAAUUGAUUUUUGACUCUUUAACUUGAUUUGUUCCUUCAUGAGUUACUUCAAGUAAUCUCCAAGUUUCCUAGGCUAAUUUGCAUUGACAAAUUCUAUUAUAUUCAUUUAUAUCCAUAUCACAUUGCAAGGUAUAAAUAGCCUUAGCAUUUAAUUGAAAAUUUCUUCUAUCACAUUCAUCCCAUUCUUAUUUGGGUUUUAGAACCGUGACUCUAUCAACUAGUUUUGAAGGAAAAGUCGAGUCAUCUUCAUUGACAUCUCAUAGGUCCAAGUCGGUUGAUUAUAAAAACCAAAUCUUUUUAGUUUUACAAUAGGAAUAAUCGAUUCCCAUAAAAAAUGGAGGUCUAUUGGUUGCAAAACUUUCAAUGUGAGAUGAGUUUGAUGGAUUAGUCAUUUCCUCUUAGACGGUUAAGUCUUACACAAAAGGCAUAACUCUAAUACCAAUUGAGAAAAUAAAGACUAAUCUUAAUUAGGAAAACACCCAAGAGGGAGGGUGAAUUGAGUUUUUAAAAAUAUUUUUCAAGCACAAACAAAUUCAAGCAAAGUAAACACAAAUAUAAAGAGAUAAGGUUAGAGAGAACAAACUCAGAUUUUAUAGUGAUUUGGAACUUCCUUGCCUACAUCCACUCUCCUCAAACUCCUAACCGAGUGAGGAUUCCAUUAUACUUAAAGUUUCAACCAAGCUUCUAAUCCCUUUACACUUGGAUUUUAGCUCCACUAGGCUCUUACACAAUCUCUUCAAGUCUCUACUCACUUAAAGGUUCUAACACUCAAAUAACAAAUUUGAAUUUCUCAACCUAGCUCAACAAUGACUUAAAUACAAUACAAAUGCUAGGAUGAAUCACAAAGGUGCACUAAAGAGUAUGCAAAUGGAUAUUUGAUGCACCAAAGAAAGAAUGGGAGUUUUUUAGGCAAGAACAAGUAGGUAAACAAAUAAAUGUAGGUGUUAUCUUUUUCAUAAAUGAAGUGAAGCUCUCAAUUUAUAGGUUUCUAACCUUAAGAGUCAAGAAUACCAAAAAGUAGCAUCAACCGGUUGAGCUGGGGAUCAACCGAUAGACUAGUUGUUGGGUAAUAAAUGCAUAACAAGUGACCGUUAGGCCUCGAUCGAUCAUCGACUGAACAUCGACCAAGAAUGCAAGACUACUAGAAGAGAGAGAAGAUUUUUCUCAUCUCUCGACCGGACCUCAAUCGAUAAGGGCUAAUCAAUCGACCGAUACCCUAACCGAUUAAGCUAGUUGGCCUAAUGCCUUGACUGGCUCACCAUUUUUGGCUUAAAAACCUAUUUUUAUGUUAUUUUCUCUUUUAACACUUAGGCAAAAUCUUUAGGUAAAUUAAAAUGUCAAUUUUAAAACAAUUUGCCUAAGGUUCAUUUCAUAAAACUUGGAUUUAAAUGGAAAUGUAUAUUUAAUGCAUAAAUCGAUUUGGAAAGAUGUAUGAAAAGAUAUGAAAAUCCUAAGUGCACCCAUGCAUUCAUCUUACAUAUGUUUCCUAUGAUUAAAGGGUCUUCCAAUUGUCAUGAUUUUGCAUUCAUAGGGUCCUUUGAUGAAUUUUUAAACUAAUACCUUAAAUUCUUUAUAAUUCAAACCAAUUAGCAACUUAACCAUGGCUUGUUAUCAUCAAAACGCAAUUAGGAGAACCCUUGGGCUAACAGGUACAAAUAUGGUUCAUGAUAAGAAUUUUAACAUAAAAAAAAGGGAAAAAUCCUACCCGAUAAUAAAAUUGCAUAUUUCUUUCUUUCUUUUUUUCUUUCAUUUUUAUUUGAAUUUUUUUUUUUUUUUUUUUUGAGUGGGAAAGGGUCUUUUCUUUUGUUUUUAUUUAUGUCUUUGUAUUUUUUUUAUGUCUUUGUGUGUGUGUGUUUUAUUUGAUUUUAUUCUUUUUCCAUCUCUAUAUGCAGAUGACGAAAAAACAACAUCACAUCAUAAAGUGCAUUUUUUGUUCAUUUAAGACUAAAGGUUUUGGAUUCACAAAAGGGUGGGAACUAAGGGUGAGAAGCUAGAAAAAUGGUGGAUUGAGCUACAUUUAAUCAAUGGUGAAUUUGCAAAAAAUAUUGUAGGAAAGGUUUCUUAAGGUGGAUAAGGUCAAAAGCAAAUAGCCUUUUCCUAGUUUUUGGGGUUGGUUCUUUGAGUUCUUGGGAAGAACUUAUUGUUAAUGUAUGAAUUCAUUCAAGGUAAUUUAUGUAAAAUUUUAUAGAUUUUGCAAGUGAAUGCACCUUAGCUUUUGCUAUUGUGUUUGUGUUUUUGCAAGUUGAUUAUUUUGUUGAUUACCACUUAAGGAAUGGAAGCAAUAAGGUCCCUAGAUGUAGUGCCUAAAGGCGGGCAUACAAGCAUUGUUAGGAGUGUGCUUCCCAUGUCUAGCAAGUAGAUUGGCACCACCCAAAGCCAAGGCAUCUUUGGACUAGGAGUUCUAGUUUUUACUUCUGUGAACUUUGUAGGUGCAAUCUAACUCUUCCAAAUAUUUAUUAUUAUGUAGUAGUUGUACACUUGUACUUUGUGUAAGCGAAUUGAUUAUUGGAUUUUUAGUUAAAUCAAAUUUAAGGGUCUUUUGUUUAAUUUACUAGAGAUCUCUUGUUUGUAAUUCUAAUUAUCAUAUAUAGAUCUUUGUUAGUAUUUGCCAAUUUCUUCAAUUGUAACCUAUAGCAUCAUUUUUUGUUUUGAAUUGGCUAAUCUGUUUUGGAAAGAUGAGUUAGAUAUAUGAGCUUGAUUGCUAGCAGUAGUUGAAUUUGUUUUGAUCUCAAGAUAUUUUCCUUGUUGAUAGGUCAUAGAUUUUGGGUCCAAAGAGUUGAAAAUUGAUGAGCUAUACCAAGACAUAGAUUUUAUCUCACUGGGAGAACCAUAACACUAACUAGUGUUCCAACAAUAAGCUAAUAACCAUGAUUUAGAAAGGUGAUUUCCUUAAGAAGCAUUUCUAAUCUUAUUUGAAGGAAACUUUAAUGUCUUCCUUAAUACACUAGAAUAUUAAUUUAAAAUAACAAUUAAGGUUAUAUUAAAAAAUUUACACACGGGCAUGACCAAAUGAAAAGUUGUUAUAUUUCCUAAUUUAAAAACCAAUUUCAUAUGAGAACAUGAAAACAUACGGGUUUGUUUGACAAUUGUUUUUCAAAACAAAAAAACUAGAAAAUAUGUUUGGCAAUAAAAUAAAAUAAAAAACUAUUUUCUAUUUUUCAUUCUCAAGAACAUAAAAUGAAGUGUUUUCAUAAAACAUCUUUUAGCUAUUUUCAAUUGUUUUCCCUUAUUUUUUUAGAAUUGUUUUAAAAGUAUAAUUAUAAAAACAUGUAUAAUGAUUAAAAAUAAAGCUCUAAACAUAAAAAAAUUAUUUUUACAAUGUAUUUAAAACUAUUAAAAUAUGUUAAAAAUAUUUCAAGUUCCCAAACAUACCUUUGUUUUAUAAAAUAUCAAAGAACAAUUUUCAAAAAUUGUUUUCAAAAACUAUUUUUCAGCAAAUAGGGCACACUUUUCCCAAACUAAUUUCCAAUAUAUUUCCUACUAAGGAAAAAAUAACAAAAGAGAAUAAUUUAUAAAAUAGACUUCAUGGAAGGCCAAAGCAAAUAUAAAGAGACAAGUAUCAUAAAAAAAUGUCCAUAUUCCAUAUUCAUUUCGAUGUCAUUUACAAAAUUAAUUACAAUUACACAGGGUACGUUUUUGCUCAUUAAAGGCAUCUAUCACCACUUUCGAAUCUCUCAACUUCAAAAAUAUUAAGGUUAUGUUUGGUUCCCGAAAAAUUACUAAGGAAAGAAAAAAAAAAUACAAAGUAAAAUGAUUUUUUCAUGUUUAGUUGUCCUAUGAAAAAUAUUAAAGAAAAUCAAAUAUAAUUAAAACUAAUUAAAAACUUAUAUAUUUUUAAAUUAUUUAAUCUUUAUAUUGAUGAGUUAAAAUAAAUAAAAUGAGUUUGAAGUAACAAAAAAAAUAAUUUAUCAACUUUUAAUCUAUUUUUUUAUUUUCCUUCUACUUUUCCUCUGUAUUUUCUUUCCCUUGCAUUUUCCUUCAAAUUUUCUUAAACCAAACAUAGCAUAACUACCCCUAACAAAAUCCAUUUGCAAUCCACUUGUCAUUCAGCUCUACCCACAGGUAAUGAUAAAGCCCAUUAAUGAGAAAAAAUACAGUAGCUCUGAAAGCAUCAUCCCUAGUUUAAAGGCAUGGAAGCACUAGCCAAGAGAUAUAUAUUGAGUUGCAGAUAAUGGAAAUGGGGGAAUUCAUGGAUUUUGCCCGGACAACAUGUUGAAUGGAAACUACUUCAUUCAACAGAGAAGAAGCUACCUUGAUGGAGGUUGAGGAGUCCUCCAUUGUUGGCAAUGGAGGCUCUCAUACCAUCCCAAGAAGCUAAACCAAAAGAAAUUCCAGCACCAAAGAAAUGCUUUUCCCACAUCUCAACGAUUGAUUACGAAAUUCUUUACAUAAUUCUAUAACAAACUACUAAUUGGGUCAACCAACUCUCAUGGCACUAUUUAUUUAGCGUCCAACACCAUGUUCUUACAACAUUAUUAUUGUUCGGAAACUCUGAAAUGAUGAAUUUGGAUGUUUUCAACAGCUUGCUUCUUGAAAUCACUCCUGUUUCUAGUUGCCAUGAACUUCCCCCAAUUGUACUCUUUAAAUUUAGGGGGGUUUUCCUCAUUGGUCAACUCCUCCAAUGGCUUUACAUUCACAUGGUGCGCCGGAAAUAAGAAGAAUGGAAUCGAAAACCUUUCCUUCUCACUAUUGGCCACCACCCUGUGCUCCACGCUCUCAUAUUUAUCAUUGCUCCACACCUGUAUGGUGUCGGAUAAAUAUUAUG